rnacentral:rRNA from 1 species
GGGGGAUAUUGCGCAAUGGGGGCAACCCUGACGCAGCAACGCCGCGUGAAGGAUGAAGGUUUUCGGAUUGUAAACUUCUUUUAUUAAGGACGAAAAAUGACGGUACUUAAUGAAUAAGCUCCGGCUAACUACGUGCCAGCAGCCGCGGUAAUACGUAGGGAGCAAGCGUUGUCCGGAUUUACUGGGUGUAAAGGGUGCGUAGGCGGCUUUGCAAGUCAGAUGUGAAAUCUAUGGGCUCAACCCAUAAACUGCAUUUGAAACUGUAGAGCUUGAGUGAAGUAGAGGCAGGCGGAAUUCCCCGUGUAGCGGUGAAAUGCGUAGAGAUGGGGAGGAACACCAGUGGCGAAGGCGGCCUGCUGGGCUUUAACUGACGCUGAGGCACGAAAGCGUGGGUAGCAAACAGGAUUAGAUACCCUGGUAGUCCACGCUGUAAACGAUGAUUACUAGGUGUGGGGGGUCUGACCCCUUCCGUGCCGGAGUUAACACAAUAAGUAAUCCACCUGGGGAGUACGGCCGCAAGGUUGAAACUCAAAGGAAUUGACGGGGGCCCGCACAAGCAGUGGAGUAUGUGGUUUAAUUCGAAGCAACGCGAAGAACCUUACCAGGUCUUGACAUCCAACUAACGAAGUAGAGAUACAUUAGGUGCCCUUCGGGGAAAGUUGAGACAGGUGGUGCAUGGUUGUCGUCAGCUCGUGUCGUGAGAUGUUGGGUUAAGUCCCGCAACGAGCGCAACCCUUGCUAUUAGUUGCUACGCAAGAGCACUCUAAUAGGACUGCCGUUGGCAAAACGGAGGAAGGUGGGGACGACGUCAAAUCAUCAUGCCCCUUAUGACCUGGGCUACACACGUACUACAAUGGAUGUUAACAGAGGGAAGCAAGACAGCGAUGUGGAGCAAACCCCUAAAAACAUUCUCAGUUCAGAUUGCAGGCUGCAACCCGCCUGCAUGAAGAUGGAAUUGCUAGUAAUCGCGGAUCAGCAUGCCGCGGUGAAUACGUUCCCG